UACGUAGGGGGCAAGCGUUGUCCGGAAUUAUUGGGCGUAAAGAGCGCGUAGGCGGUCCGGUAAGUCAGCUGUGAAAGUCAAGGGCUCAACCCUUGAAAGCCGGUUGAUACUGUCGGGCUAGAGUCCGGAAGAGGCGAGUGGAAUUCCCGGUGUAGCGGUGAAAUGCGCAGAUAUCGGGAGGAACACCAAUGGCGAAGGCAGCUCGCUGGGACGGUACUGACGCUGAGGCGCGAAAGCGUGGGGAGCAAACAG
rnacentral:rRNA from 1 species